GACCUGACUCAUUUGCAGUGAGGUAGCAUGGGUUCAGGAGUGAUUCCCUUUCCACCUCAUUCCUUUCCACCUGUAGCAGUGGGGAGAACUAGCUCUGGGGUCAUGAGACAGAUGAGCUGGCCCUGUUCCUUGCAGGUUGCAGCACUCAGGGAAGUGGUUCCUGUACCUCACUUGAGCACCACAGUAGAGCUGGCCCUGAUGGAGGGUAUAUAGGUAAGCCAGCCCCUAGACUGAGAGUGCUGGAGAACUGGCCCCAACACUCUGCUGUGAAGUGGGAGAUAAAGGCUAUAAUUGGCCCCAAAGGUGAAAAAGCACCUUGAGAUGGUGUGUGUUCAGGGGUGGUUUCCUCCCCAAAUUGUGCCUCACUCAUUGCAGUAGUUUAGAGAGCUGGCCCCAAUGGCAUGAGCACAGGAAAUCUGGCCCUACCCCCUCACAUGCUGUAACAUUCCGAAGAGU
rnacentral:lncRNA from 1 species